rnacentral:tRNA from 1 species
GGGCCCGUAGCCCAGUCAGGAUAGGGUGCUGAUUAGAUAUAGUAUAAGCCUCCGAAGCCAGGCAUCGUGGGAUCGAAGCCCACCGGGCCCG